rnacentral:lncRNA from 7 species
AGGAUAAGGGGUAGGCACUUUGUUUGCUGUUGGGAUAUGGCAUAGCAGAAGCCCUUAGAGCUGCUACAGGGAGCAGAGAGUGCUGAGACACUCAAGGAUUGGGGGGAUUAUGGCAGUCCUAUGGCCAUCCCACCUACUUCCACCAUGGAGAAGCAGCAAUCUGGGAUCCUUCCAGUAGGCUCUGUGGGAUUCCAGCUCUCGAAGCUGGCUGGAGCAAAGCUUUCCAAGGCCGCAUUUCGAAUCGCUCCUGGUGCAGCAGGGUGGGCUCUGGGGCACAGCUAUGAGUAUCAGCGCUCCCACUGAUUUUUCGGAUGGGUUUUGGCUGCUCAGACCUCCUGGAGCUCAGCCCAGCAUUCUCCACGUGGCGUGGCUCCAGAAAUGGAAGCACUCCAAUGUGAAACAUCACCUGAGCUGUUAGGACCUGCUGGAGCAUUCCCUCUCGUGUUGGCCAGUGACCCAUAUGGAGCAGCAUGUUGCUGCUGAAUGGUGGCAGCUGCACCCACUGCAAUUCCCAGGCCUGGCACCCAUUCUCACAGUUGAGAUGUUGGCAAGUGAGGGAGGUGACAGGGCUCAGCCCCUGCCUCCUCCUGUUCUGGCUUGUGCAUCACAAUCCAUGCUGGCUACAGUGCCCUGGCAAGGCAGGUGUCCUGCUCUUGCUGCACACAACCAGAGGAAGUUCCCAAUGGGAAUCAGUCCCCACUCCUGCACUGCAAGCACAGCACUGUGAACCUUUUGGGGUGACAUUUGGCAAAAACAGAAGUGGAGGCUGAAUCUGCUCUGAAAGCCACAGUGUAGUUGCAAGCUUGGUCUGGCAAGGGGAUUUCCUGCACUUGCACAUCCCAUCCUAGCACAGGAGGUCUGACUGGAGAAAGCUGUGGGAUCCCAUUCUGAUAGAGAACCACACUGUCUGUAAAGCUGCUCACCUACCUCUGCCAAAAUGAGAAUCCUGAGCCUAAGCAUUGCAGGAAGCCUCAAGAACACAGAAUAAAUCCAACCUCACAAUUCACUGGAAUUAAGAGGUGGAGUGUUUCCUACAGGUUUUAUGUCUGGUAUGAUUUAUUAUUUAAUUUAAACACAUAAUUUCCAGCAGUUUCGUUUUGCAAGCAAUCACCUGGGCUAUGUUAACCUGAUAGUGACGUACUGCUGUCCUGGGGUGCCCUGGGAGAGAGAGAGCAAGAGCAUAGCACUCAGAGGUGUGAUCUUCCCCUGUUUAUCUUGAUGGGGUGCACACAACCUUGGCAGAGAAGCGAGUCCAAACAACUUAACCAUGUCACUGCCAGAUGCUGCUGUUGAAAGGGCUGGUGGUACAGCAGUAUGAGCUGUAUGGGCCAUGUCAUUUCUCCACUCAGAUCCUUCCAGCACCAAGGGGUGCAGGUUGUCUGGCAAGGAUUCAUGGUUAUGCCUGCUAAAGACUCCUGGAACAUCACAGAGCAGGUUACAGCCAACCCUGCAGGAGAGCAGAGACCACAGCCUUUAGUGGGACACGAGCUAGAAACUGGGCAGCUCCCUUUACAUUCAGAGCUCAUCUGGCUGGCUGUCAGCAGAGUCUUGCAGAGCACAGUGCUGAGCCUCUUGUGCCAGUUUGGAGACUCCCUUUUGCACCCAGAAGUGUGCCUGCAAAAGCCCCUGAAGAUGGCAGAUGCUACAGAGGAGUGGUCCUUUCCUCCGAUCACAGCUUGCUGCAGCACGGUGGGUGUUGCAGCAGCUCCUUUUCAUGCAAGGCCACCUGAGCAAGGUUUCUUUGGGGCCCUGGGGAUAUUUAAGCUUUAACACAAAACUGUUGCUUAAGGCUUUUAGGACCUUUUAAUGCCCAAAGCGGGAGGUGUGAGGCUGUUCUCAGGCUGUCACACAUCACAAGAUACAGCCCCUAUACCUCUGUGUGUCACCUUAUUCCUGUGAGCUAGGGGCAAACACCUCUUCCAACAGGAGAGGUGUCUGAAACAGCCUUUCCAUUACAUUUAUAUUUAAAGACCUAACAGUGACUGAAGCACUUUGCAUAAUAAACGCAUCUAAAUACAGAAAUAUUUGCCUGCUCUCAGUAUAAAAGGAAGUCCUCAGAUCCUCUUCUGAAGACUGCAAGAAAGCGACAGAGUUUUCCCUCUACGGGAU